GAAGGUUUCUGGCAGCCGGAAGCAGUGGGGCCUGUGGCUCCCACCCAGAAUGAGGCUUGGAGGAGAAGUGGUUUCAGUGAGGAGCAUGCAGGGGCCCAUAUUUCUCAUGUGUUUUUUUUUCUGCAAAGCUGUUCUUUAUUUCAGGGAGAGGGCAGGGGAGGGGCUCAGUCUUUCUUGGCAGCAGCUUUCCUCAUGGCGGCCAGUACGUUGCUCAGCUCCUCCCGCUUC
rnacentral:lncRNA from 1 species